UGACCUGCAGCCUCCAGCAGUGCUGUCACCUUGUACCAAGUCCACGCACCGUGGCACAGGCCAUGGACGAGCACAAACCUUUUCUGGUUGUUCUUCUCCAUUAUCUUUUUUACUUUCAGCAUCUUGUGGUUCAACACUUAUAAAUUAUUAAGUUUCCCGCAUUUACUAUUUGGAUGGUGACUAAUAGAUUUUGGUCAUUGUCUGACAUCUAUUAGAAUUCUAAACCAGACACUAUAUUGACCAUUAGUUUUUUUAUUUAUUUGUUUCAACCAUCGAAAGCAAUAAAUUCUAACCUUCUGCAGCAAACACUUAAGUGCAUCAAAACCUCGUACAUUUGCAUUGGUAGGCUUGAAGGCUCUGAUACCGUAUAGAUUUAGAUAGAAGCAUCUUUCUUUUCAUGAAAUCAAGACGCUUUGUAAUUUCUUUAAAGGUCAUUACAGUAUUCAUUACCAUUCUUGCAUACAGGUCUUACAUGAAUCUUUAAUCGUUUGUUCUUAUGAAUCUUUAUUCUCAUAUGGUUGGUUGUUGUGGUGGAAGCUGAAGUUGGUUAUUUAUUUGCAGUGACAAUCUCAGGUUUACUUAGGCGUAUUCAUCUGCAAUCUCCAAGAGAAGAGCACAUAGUUCUUUAGGCCUGGAAGACAUUGCCAUAUGAUCUGCAUCUUGGAUCUCCAUUACUUCUUUCACUUGAAAGUUACUGAUCAUCCAACGUUGGUAUUCCUCAGGUAAUAUAUUAUCCUCUCCACAUAUGAUAUAAAUACGUGUAACCGAUCCAUACCCUCCCUCAGUAAAACUUCUUGUCCCUGUCAGAUUGGUCGUAACCACCGGGUUCACCCUUACCAACAAUUUCGCCAAUACAAGAUCCUAACCGUUGAGAACAGAGAAUAGAAAAAGAUUGACUGGUUACUAGCAAUCUCAUUUGUUAGAAUAAGGUAUGAUUAGGCUUGGAGUCUUACUUCU
rnacentral:lncRNA from 1 species